rnacentral:rRNA from 1 species
GACGGGAGAGUUUCCGUGGGAACGGAGCAUUUGGUUCGGAACAACCCAGGGAAACUUGGGCUAAUCCUUACAAGCCCUCACGGGGAAAGAUUCAUCGCCGAAGGAUCGGCCCGCGUCUGAUUAGCUAGUUGGUGGGGUAAUGGCCCACCAAGGCGACGAUCAGUAGCUGGUCUGAGAGGAUGAUCAGCCUCACUGGGACUGAGACACGGCCCAGACUCCUACGGGAGGCAGCAGUGGG